rnacentral:tRNA from 1 species
CGGGGCGUGGCCUAGUGGCUUAAGGCGCCUGCUUUGGGAGCAGGAGAUCGUGAGUUCAAAUCUCACCGCCCCGA